GUUCUGGUUGAGGCGUGUAUACCUGGGCCAGGUGUGUGUUACUCUGCCCAGGGUUAGAGGUUUGUUGCUGUGUUCUGGUUGAGGUGUGUAUACCUGGGCCAGGUGUGUGUUACUCUGCCCAGGGUUAGAGGUUUGUUGCUGUGUUCUGGUUGAGGUGUGUAUACCUGGGCCAGGUGUGUGUUACUCUGCCCAGGGUUAGAGGUUUGUUGCUGUGUUCUGGUUGAGGCGUGUAUACCUGGGCAAGUUGUGUGUUACUCUGCCCAGGAUUAGAGGUGUGUGUGGGGGGGCACCACAGGGGAAAGGGGCAGGGUGUAGGAAGGCCUGGGUGGGGGCCAGGAAAGGGGCCGUGACGUGAGGAAAGGGGGGUCGAGGUGGGGAUGGAGGUGGGGCGGGGUUGAAUGGUGAUGGUUUGUAGGUCAGAGCCUAGUAGAAUUACAUGGGUAGGAAAUGGAAGGGGAUGGGUUUGACCUGACCUCUCUGCCACUUUAUCACUGGGAAGCCAUCCUGAGGCAGAGGACUUCACCAAACACAUAAUACACUUAUUAGAAUUUACAGCAUUGGCAAGUGAAGAAUGCACAAACACAUAGUUCUAAAACCAAAUAGAUACAGUUGAAGUCAGAAGUUUACAUACACACAAAU
ensembl:lncRNA